rnacentral:rRNA from 1 species
AAUAUUGGACAAUGGGCGAAAGCCUGAUCCAGCAAUGCCGCGUGAGUGAUGAAGGCCUUAGGGUUGUAAAGCUCUUUUACCCGGGAUGAUAAUGACAGUACCGGGCGAAUAAGCCCCGGCUAACUCCGUGCCAGCAGCCGCGGUAAUACGGAGGGGGCUAGCGUUGUUCGGAAUUACUGGGCGUAAAGCGCACGUAGGCGGCCAACUAAGUCCGACGUGAAAUCCCCAAGCUUAACUUGGGAACUGCGUCGGAUACUGGAUGGCUUGAAUUCGGGAGAGGGAUGCAGAAUUCCAGGUGUAGCGGUGAAAUGCGUAGAUAUCUGGAGGAAUACCGGUGGCGAAGGCGGCAUCCUGGACCGACAUUGACGCUGAGGAGCGAAAGCUAGGGGAGCAAAC